GAUGAACGCUGGCGGCGUGCCUAAUACAUGCAAGUCGAGCGAACAGACGAGGAGCUUGCUCCUCUGACGUUAGCGGCGGACGGGUGAGUAACACGUGGAUAACCUACCUAUAAGACUGGGAUAACUUCGGGAAACCGGAGCUAAUACCGGACAAUAUAUUGAACCGCAUGGUUCAAUAGUGAAAGACGGUUUUGCUGUCACUUAUAGAUGGAUCCGCGCCGCAUUAGCUAGUUGGUAAGGUAACGGCUUACCAAGGCAACGAUGCGUAGCCGACCUGAGAGGGUGAUCGACCACACUGGAACUGAGACACGGUCCAGACUCCUACGGGAGGCAGCAGUAGGGAAUCUUCCGCAAUGGGCGAAAGCCUGACGGAGCAACGCCGCGUGAGUGAUGAAGGUCUUCGGAUCGUAAAACUCUGUUAUUAGGGAAGAACAAAUGUGUAAGUAACUAUGCACGUCUUGACGGUACCUAAUCAGAAAGCCACGGCUAACUACGUG
rnacentral:rRNA from 1 species